GAAGGGAGCUAGCGUUGUUCGGAAUCACUGGGCGUAAAGCGCACGUAGGCGGAUUUGUUAGUCAGGGGUGAAAUCCCGGGGCUCAACCUCGGAACUGCCUUUGAUACUGCAAGUCUGGAGUCCGGAAGAGGUGGGUGGAAUUCCUAGUGUAGAGGUGAAAUUCUUAGAUAUUAGGAAGAACACCGGUGGCGAAGGCGGCCCACUGGUCCGGUACUGACGCUGAGGUGCGAAAGCGUGGGGAGCAAACAGGAUUAGAUACCCGUGGGUAGUCCACGCCGUAAACGAUGGAUGCUAGCCGUCGGCAAGCUUGCUUGUCGGUGGCGCAGCUAACGCAUUAAGCAUCCCGCCUGGGGAGUACGGCCGCAAGGUUA
rnacentral:rRNA from 1 species